rnacentral:rRNA from 1 species
CCUACGGGAGGCAGCAGUGAGGAAUAUUGGUCAAUGGACGAGAGUCUGAACCAGCCAAGUAGCGUGAAGGAUGACUGCCCUAUGGGUUGUAAACUUCUUUUAUAAAGGAAUAAAACGAGGCACGUGUGCCUUUUUGCAUGUACUUUAUGAAUAAGGAUCGGCUAACUCCGUGCCAGCAGCCGCGGUAAUACGGAGGAUCCGAGCGUUAUCCGGAUUUAGUGGGUGUAAAGGGAGCGUAGAUGGGUUGUUAAGUCAGUUGUGAAAGUUUGCGGCUCAACCGUAAAAUUGCAAUUGAUACUGGCAGUCUUGAGUACAGUUGAGGCAGGCGGAAUUCGUGGUGUAGCGGUGAAAUGCUUAGAUAUCACGAAGAACCCCGAUUGCGAAGGCAGCUUACUAAACUGUGACUGACAUUGAUGCUCGAAAGUGUGGGUAUCAAACAGGAUUAGAUACCCUAGUAGUC